AUCCACAUGACGAGUCCCACAUGGGACGAAACGCGCGUCCACGAU
rfam:Schistosoma mansoni strain Puerto Rico chromosome 1, complete genome